UACGAAGGGGGCUAGCGUUGCUCGGAAUUACUGGGCGUAAAGCGCACGUAGGCGGAUUGUUAAGUCGGGGGUGAAAUCCUGGAGCUCAACUCCAGAACUGCCUUCGAUACUGGCGAUCUCGAGUUCGGGAGAGGUGAGUGGAACUGCGAGUGUAGAGGUGAAAUUCGUAGAUAUUCGCAAGAACACCGGUGGCGAAGGCGGCCAACUGGCCCAUUACUGACGCUGAGGCGCGACAGCGUGGGGAGCAAACAGG
rnacentral:rRNA from 1 species